GUUUUAAAGUAUAUUUGCUGACUGAUAAAGCUCAUAUAAUAACAUUAAAUGUGGAAUGCUAUCAAAUUGAAUAUGUGUCUUUUCUUGAGAUAACGUCUUCAUUAAAGAGAGAGCAGAAAACAAGCAGGUUGUUGAAGGAAACAGUGUCGCAAUGGAAGGGGAACUCGCGACCACGGCUAGUUCUACAAAUGCUGUUAUUGUAAAUGGGAACAUUUAUUCAUUAUCUUCGCUUCCUUCGGAAGGUGAGAAAACGGACUUGGUAUCUGACAAGUUAGAUCCUUCUAAUGCCACAGGAUUUAUACAAGACGGUGGGGUUAUUAUGGAAACUCCCAAGGGGUUAGUCUGGGUGAAUGUUUCUGAUUUAGUGAAUGCAUAUGGGAACCCUAUCAACAGUGUAGAUUUACAGAGUCACACAGAUCUGUUAGAUCAACAGCAGCAGGAUGUUCUUGAUGAAGACCAAGUAGCCAAAAUAACAGAUGUUCACAAUGAUAUUAACUCUGGACUCACACUAGAUAACCCUCUACAGUUAAUAACAUCUGGGACAACAGUUCCAGUUGCUUUAACAGUAGUGACACCAAAAUCUGCAUCUUCCACAACAUCAACAACUGAACCAAUUGAAGGAGAACCAAAGAAGCGGAGAGGUGGCUGGCCAAAAGGAAAGAAAAGAAAAAAGGAUCUAGGAGAAAACAAAGCACCCAAGGCACCAAUUACUGCCUAUGUACUAUAUGCCAUUGAGAGAAGACAGGCAAUCAAAGCCAGUAACCCAGAGAUUCCAUUCUGUGAAGUGACUAAAAUUCUGGGUAAUGAAUGGUCUUCAAUGUCACAGGAUGAGAAGCAGAAAUAUUUUGAAGCAGCAGAUAAAGACAAGAAACGUUAUGUUGAACAACUGAAGGCAUAUCAGCAAUCUGAAGCUUUUCAGACUUAUCUGAGGAAAAAGAAAAUAAGAAGUUUGGGAGAUAUGGAGGUUUCCCCAGAAAUAGAUUCCACCAUAAUGGACUUGGAGGAAGAAGACCCAAAUGAGCUGUAUUGCAAAGUUUGCAACAUGUAUUUUAGUUCAUUGCACAACAAAAAAGAACACAUGUUUGGCAAGCAACAUCUGCAAGCUAUAACUGGUGAAUUUGAAAAGGAACUGCAGCAGCAGCAGACAGAGUCGGAGACUCUGGGCUCAGAGUUCCUUUCUUCUGGUUCAGACCAGAGUCUCCUGACGUCUUCCCCUCCACGCAGCUAUGGGGCACAGAGGCAGGUCGACAUAGAUGGCUUUAUGCAGGAAUUUCUUGAAAGAAAUAUAGAAAGGGAAGGUGAAAUUAGACAACUGAGAAAAUCUCUUGCAGCAGCCAAAGAUCAAAACAUGGCAUUAUUUCAAAAGGUUCAGGAACUGAAGGAACUGGACAGCAAAUUAGAACAAGACUCUGGCAAUCUCAAAGCUUAUGGCGCAGCUCUAAGUGCACAAAUAGACGGCUUGAAGAUGGUCCCCACAUUGUUUGGUGUGAUCAACUUCUGAAUGUAGUGCAAUUUUAAAAAUAUGGUGCUCACAUACAAUUUCUGAUGUACAUAGUGAAAAUAGUUUUGAUAAAAUAUGAACUUGGUUGAAUUUUCCCUUUCUUAAAUUUUGAAUAAAAGGUUAGAGCAAUAACAUCUCUGUUAAAAUGCAAAGAUUUCUGCUACAUGUAUUCUGCAUAAUAAAUUUUGUGAUCAUGAUGAAUUUCUUCAAAAAUUCCACAAAAGAAAAAAAAAUAAUUUGAAGAUUUCACCUUUCCAUUUUACCAGCAUAUUAGUAUUUUGUAAUACUCAGACAACUUUACGGUAAUCCACUGUUUCUUUGUUUACAAUGUUACCUUGGGUUUACAGAUGAAGACUAGUCAUUGAUGGGACCCGUUGCAUUUUAAGGCUGUGACUGAGCACAAAUGGAUGCCAGAAAAAGGAUUCGAGUAUGUGAAGUACAGUACAUCAUUCGCCAGGAACGUUCCUCCUCUCAUUCAGUAGGACAAGGGACUGAUCUGAAUACGUUGUGGAAGUUGCAAUGGAAAUGUUCGUCAAAAUAUUUUAAGGCUUUUUACAAAUUUGUUGAAUUUAAUAUUUAAUGUAAAGAAUACGAAAACAACUAGGGAUGUGCAGUGUGUUUAAGAAGUUAAUCUAAAGCGAGAAUAAACGACCAAAAAGAGAAUGACCAAAUUCUGCUAGAUUUUGAGGUGAAAAUUACUCAUUGUGGCACGUUUUUUUUAGGGGAAAAAUAACUGCAGCAGCAAUAACACGACCUGCUCUUAGUGAUUC